UUUAUCCAGUAAAACAGCUCAUUUGAUUAUUUCUAUUAUUAUAUUAUUUUCAUUGUGAAUUGUUGUCAUUGUACAGAAAGACCAAAACCCACAGUAACCAUUAAACCUGCUCAACAUGUGUUCAGAGGAGAGACAGUCACUCUCAGAUGUGACAUAUAUAGUGAAGGAGUCACUAGCUGGAGCUACAGCUGGUAUAAAGACGGUUCAACCAGUGUUUUCAGUUAUCAACAGGAACACACACUCAGGUCUGUUACUGAGUCUGACGCAGGUAAAUACACCUGUAGAGGAUCAGAGACAGAAGGAUCACGCUGGUCACAAAUGAGUGAUGCAGUUACACUGAGAGUAUCAGAUCCCAGAGCAGUUUUAAGUGUUUCUCCACUGAACUGGUUGACUGAAGGAGAUCCAGUGACUCUGAUCUGUGAGGUUCACAGCUUCUCUACAGGCUGGACAUUCAGCUGGUUCACUUUAACUGUCUCAGCAGAUCAUUAUGAUCUGCUGUCAG